GAUGAAGAACGUAGCGAAAUGCGAUAAGUAGUGUGAAUUGCAGAAUUCAGUGAAUCAUCGAAUCUUUGAACGCACAUUGCGCCCCUUGGUAUUCCAUGGGGCAUGCCUGUUCGAGCGUCAUUUGUACCUUCAAGCUUUGCUUGGUGUUGGGUGUUUGUCCAUUCUCUUGCAGAGGGACUCGCCUUAAAGUAAUUGGCAGCCAGUGUUUUGGUUUUGAAGCGCAGCACAAGUCGCGAUUCAACGCUAUACGACAGCUUCCACAAGCCUUUUUCACUUUUGACCUCGGAUCAGGUAGGGAUACCCGCUGAACUUAAGCAUAUCAAUAAGCGGAGGA
rnacentral:misc_RNA from 1 species